AACAGAUUUAAUCGCGUCGACAGUUUUUGUUAUUAACAUUAUAAAUGUUAUAUAGCAUGUGGCCAACUUCACCUUGUUUCUUUGCCCACGGCAAAGGACUUCUUUCAACACUGGAUUGAUGCUUUCUGCUACCAAGUGCCUCCUCUAUCUUGCUUACAGAAGUAACGUGGGUCCACUCCUCUGCUAGUUACAGCGCCGAGCUAUGAGAUCAUCAGGGGCCAAGAAGAUAAACAGUUUAGCAACUUGGCUGCUAUUAAGGAGCCUACCUACAUAAGCAGUUCGCCUUUCAUAGUGGUGACAAACCUUGAGAAUUCAGAAAGUUCUGGAAGCCAUCCACGUAAACACCAAAACACCAGCCCGGCACAAGCCUAUCCAGCUUGUGCUGGCAAUUAACCUGGAAACUCUCUUACUGUUAAUUCUCAUUUGUUUCCAUACUUAGUAAACAUACACUUCAUUACAAAGCUG
rnacentral:lncRNA from 1 species